rnacentral:rRNA from 1 species
UACGUAGGGGGCAAGCGUUGUCCGGAAUCAUUGGGCGUAAAGCGCGUGUAGGCGGUCCGGUAAGUCCGCUGUGAAAGUCGGGGGCUUAACCCUCGGAUGCCGGUGGAUACUGUCGGGCUUGAGUACGGAAGAGGCGACUGGAAUUCCUGGUGUAGCGGUGAAAUGCGCAGAGAUCAGGAGGAACACCGGUGGCGAAGGCGGCGCUCUGGGCCGGUACUGACGCUGAGGAGCGAAAGCGUGGGGAGCGAACAGG